UUGACCUCAAAUCAGGUAGGAUUACCCGCUGAACUUAAGCAUAUCAAUAAGCGGAGGAAAAGAAA
rnacentral:rRNA from 1 species